CUCAACCCAAACAUCAUGAAACCCUACCCGAGCGUUUGAGGCGUUACACAUGAUGUUUUUAAUUCAUUUUGUUCGCAUUUAAAACGAUAUUAUGGAGAUUAAUACUUCUUAUUAACUGAUCGCCCCUUAAACAUCCAAAACUGAUGCACUUAAUCACAACCUUGAACACCAUUAUUAACCAUCAAGAACACAAACUGGGUUUUCCAUAUUUUCGCGAAUUGAACCAAAAUAAUUACACCACCGAAACCUCUGCUCAAACCAUAUAAAACCCCACUGAAAUUUCUCCAUUUCAUCACCUCUACAUCGCGAAUUUAAUCGAAGAACAUUCUAGGGCUUGUAACUUGUGCGGACGAUAUCUCCUUCAAUUCUUAACCUUUUCAGGGUGAUUUAGUCAAUUGUUAUUCCUCGUGUACCCGUGCGAUAAAUCUCGUGGAUUAACUCUUCGCAACCUGUUUUCAAAGUUGAUGAUCAAGUGAUGUUGACACGUAGCAUGGGCCUUAGGAAAUUAAAUUGAAAUCUUGAUAUAUUUGUUUUGAAUAAUGUAUGAACAAUUUUGACUAUUAUAUGUUA